UUGCUUGCUUUGGCAGCACAUAUAUUAAAAUUGGAAUGACAAAGAGAACAUUAGCAUGGCCCCGUGCAAGGAUGACACACAAAUUUAUGAAGCUUUCCACUUAAAA
ensembl:snRNA U6 U6 spliceosomal RNA